rnacentral:rRNA from 1 species
UUUGAAAUCUGGCGUCUUUGGCGUCCGAGUUGUAAUUUGAAGAAGGUAUCUUUGGGCCCGGCUCUUGUCUAUGUUCCUUGGAACAGGACGUCACAGAGGGUGAGAAUCCCGUGCGAUGAGAUGACCCGGGUCUGUGUAAAGUUCCUUCGACGAGUCGAGUUGUUUGGGAAUGCAGCUCUAAGUGGGUGGUAAAUUCCAUCUAAAGCUAAAUAUUGGCGAGAGACCGAUAGCGAACAAGUACAGUGAUGGAAAGAUGAAAAGAACUUUGAAAAGAGAGUGAAAAAGUACGUGAAAUUGUUGAAAGGGAAGGGCUUGAGAUCAGACUUGGUAUUUUGCAUGCUGCUCUCUCGGGGGCGGCCGCUGCGGUUUACCGGGCCAGCAUCGGUUUGGAGCGGCAGGAUAAUGGCGGAGGAAUGUGGCACGGCUUCUGCUGUGUGUUAUAGCCUCUGACGAUACUGCCAGCCUAGACCGAGGACUGCGGUUUUUAACCUAGGAUGUUGGCAUAAUGAUCUUAAGUCGCCCGUCUUGAAACACGGACCAAGGAGUCUAACGUCUAUGCGAGUGUUUGGGUGUAAAACCCGUACGCGUAAUGAAAGUGAACGAAGGUGGGGGCCCAUUAGGGUGCACCAUCGACCGAUCCUGAUGUGUUCGGAUGGAUUUGAGUAAGAGCAUAGCUGUUGGGACCCGAAAGAUGGUGAACUAUGCCUGAAUAGGGUGAAGCCAGAGGAAACUCUGGUGGAGGCUCGUAGCGGUUCUGACGU